GGUUAUAAGAAUACACAAUUGAACAAAUAUUUUCAACAAAUAUUUAAAAAAAAAAAAAUUUGUCUGGAAGAAACCUUUAAAGGGGCAGCACGGUGGAGCACCUAAAAAGCACAGUUCUGAGGUCCCAGGUUUGAUCCCGACCCCGCCAGCUGGAGUUUGCGUGUUCUCCCUGUGCUUGCGUGGAUUUCCUCCGGGCACUCCGAUUUCCUCCCACACCCCAAAAACAUGCAACAUUAAUUGGACACUCUAAAUUGCCCCGAGGUGUGAUUGUGAGUGCGGAUCCACUGUGCCGCCCCAGUUUCUUCCCACAUCCCAAAAACAUGCAACAUUCGGUCUGGUACACACACUUUAUAAGACACGCAGAAAUUACAUUGUUUUGCUGAAAUAACAUCCCUGGAAAAGAUGUUGCUUGGAUGGCAGCAUAUGUUGCUCUGAAACUUGACACUCUAAAUUGCCCCUAGGUGUGAUUGUGAGUGCGAUUGUUUGUCUCGAUGUGCCCUGCAACCGGUUCAGGGUGUACCCCUUCUCCUGCCCGUUGACAGCUGGGUUAGGCUCCAGCACGCCCCGUGACCCUUGUGAGGAUACGCGGCUAAGAAAAUGGAUGGCUGGAUGGAUGAAACCUUUAAAGGGCACCCUCGCUGACUAAUAUCCAUUCAUUUCUGCACACCUUUUAUCACUGUUGUGGGUAGGUUUAUUUUCCUUUCCCUUUUUCUUGUGCAAGGUUAGUAGUGACGCAACAAAUAACACCCUUUCCUUUGAUAACUAAAUGUCACGUUUAACGGUCUGCUGUGUGGCACGUCUGAAAUAAUCUGGCACUUUUUUUUUUAUUUUUUGCUCGACAAAAAUUCAUUCCUGGAGUUAAGGGUGCCAUUCGCAAUAAUAGAAAUGCAAAUACAAGGAAAACAAUCCUUUAUGUGUGCCUGUUUAGAGGGCAAAAACUUUCCUGACGGUGACAUACAAUCAUGCGGUCUGCUAUCGAUGAUCGCGUUUGUGGGACUCUGCCGUGUUGACGCUCAAAACGACUCUUUGGAAUGCAAUUCACGACGGCGAGAAUUUAUUCGCAUAAUAGAAACGACUGUUUUUCAUUUUCAAUGUCGUACAUCGUCUGUUUCUCAGAAACGCGGCUUGUAGACAGGAGCAUCUGAUUUAAUGUUUCAUUCUAUGAAUCAACAAUGUGCUGGGUAAUUAUUUGUUUAUACAGACGGACUGAUGUGCUUCGACGUGCCAACUUUUGGCAGUUUAAUUAUGCAACUUUUCCGUGAAUAAUUUGCACCACCGGCCACGGCGACGUCAAAUACUGAAGCGAAUGAUGCGGGGCAUGAGGAGUAUUACCAAAUGUCAAUUUUAUUUGCAUAUCAGUAUGAGUCAAUUGGGAUAACAGUAAACCUUAGCAUAUGCGUGUAUAAUUCCAACACAUAUCCACUUCACUUGUGGUGAAAAUACUGUACAUGCACAAUGGACAACACUAACAACCAUAUACCAACUAGCAAAGACUUAUUAUGUUGAUGGACCUUUCCGACCUGUCAAUCACUCCGACAAUAACAGCCAAUCAGAUAGCUGCAUUGUCUUAGCCCCUGGCUUGACACGCCCCUUUCACCAUAUUAUCCCACAAGCAAUGCUGGUUGUCAGUAGCGUGCGCUCGGAAAAGCUAAUGUUACGAAAGAAAACGGUCCUCAGAAGCGCUUGGGGAACGUGCAAUAACGAGUUGCAAGGGGCUCGCUUGAUUCGUUUUCCAAAGCCUAAAACACGGUCGACAAAGUGUCUACGAUGGAUUAAUUCGUGGGCAGCGUCCCAUUUUGGGGACAUCGUGAUUUUCACGCAUUAUAUCCUUCAGUAUAUCAAAAUAUUGAAGUGUUUUAAUCUGAAGCCAUAAUUUGGCAUCAGGAGAGGAUAACCCGUCGGUCAAAGUUAGCACAGAGUUAUUUCCCUUUCCUUCCUGACCCAACAUGGCUGCCUCAAGUACACAUGGAGCGUUUUCCGAGAGAAGAAAGGGAGAAAGCGAGCUCUUCUCAUUUGGCAUCUUCAGCAUGCGAGCGGGCAUCUGUCAAUGCCCACCUUGUCGUCGGACGGCAUCUGGGCAACCCUCAUCGCCACGUGGUCCUCUGCCUCCUGCGGCCAACUCCCUGGUCCAGCUGCCACCUGCCCGGUCGGGCGGUGUGCCGCAUCAGUAUCACCGCGGCGACUGCCAAGUGACUUCUCCCGCGGUCCGUCGUGCAUGCACGCGGCUGCGUACGGGCCUGUCCCGCUGUCUCGAAGAAUUAAACCACGACGUGUGUCACGCUGAGGAGCGGCAGACGAGCCGUCACUCAUGACAAAGAUGGACAAGCCGGGAAAUAGGAAUAGACAUCCCGCAAAACACACGAAGAUGUGCCUCCACGCUCGGUCCGAGGAAAGAUCGGCACAUAUAAUAGUCGUCGGUCCAGCUGUCACGCAACUGGUUCACUCCUGCUCGAAGUUAGCUGGGAUCGGAUACGGCACACUUGCGACCCUUGUGAGGAUAAGCAGCUCAGAAAAUCGAUGGAUGGAUGAUUUGGUGCCAGCAAAAUUUUCACAGAGGUCCACAGGAUUAAUGUUACGGAUCACGCAGAAGGCCGAACAGGUCAACAGAGGACAAACGUGAGCUAAUAAGCCGAAGACGAACCCACGGGCGGUGGUCCGAGCCGGCGCCUAACAAAUGCGUUAUUGACGUCGCACAGCAACCAGGUAAAGUGACACAUGGCAUCUGAGGGGAAGGUCGAGAGGAGGAGAUGAGACAUGAGAGACUUCUGCACCGCUCCAAGUCUCGAUCACACGAUGGCCAGAUAAUAAUGACAACGAUGUAAUUGACAAGGAGCGUGACAGCAAGAAAUCACUGGAACAAUUCCGUUUGGUCGGUAUUCUGUAUGGAGAGAUGUUUUCAUAGUGUCCUAACAACCUCUAAUAGAAUUACCCCACAUUGUUCUACAAAAAAAAAAAAAAGGAAAUCAAUGUUCACAACAAACUAUUUGAGCCACUGAUUGAGAUUAGGGGGAAGACGCCACACACUCGAGAAUAUUUCAAUUCUAUUGAGUUAUUUUUUUGGCUCUGAAAACCUGCUCAUUUAAAAUCAUUCAGAAAAACACUUUUUGUAUUUAAAUAAGGACCAAACGCCGACAUUGGAGAUGAUAACAUAGACCCCAAAAGUGUACUAGUUUAUUUCUUUAAAAAACUGAUUUUCUGAAUCUCCUCCUUCCAAGCCAGCUUCAUAUUGAAGAGAAAAGCACCGUCCACAGAUCCGGAUCGCGCUAGAUUAUCUUUCAAACAUUCAGCUAAAUGCUUCAGAGAAUAGGCUCUCACAUUCGAAAUCAUUUAAAUAAAUGAAUACCCGCACAUUACACUAAUUUGUAAUGAAGGCAUGAUGGUGAUUACAAUAUAACUUUGUGAAUAUUACACUUACACUGGCAUUAUGUAAUUGCCGAUUGUGACGGCUGAAAACGGAGCCUCGGCUUCGUAAUGUUGGCUGGAGGCUCAUCGCACCCAAGCGGCAGACAAUGAGCCAAGCUCACAUUACAGCCAUUUUUUAUUCCGCGGUUAUUCAUCAAACUGAUUCACUAGCAUUAACUACUGCUUUGCACUUGGAUGCCGGCAUUAUGAAAAUGACUUCCUGUGCUGUGAGGCUGAAUUAUGGCCGUGUCGUCAAAUCCACUGAAUAAGAUGACAAUACUUCACCUGUGUGUGUGUUGCGUGUGAAACUCGGCAGCUAAGCUAAUUAUGCAAGAACUGUACCGCUUGUUUGACUGUGUAUGUAUUUAUUUCUCAAUUACAUUUUCCAACUACCUUGGCUCAACCUCACUGCCUAUCUGAAAUGAAAUCCCUUCGCCUCAAUAAAUAACUGCAAAAACUGAAUUGAUCACAAACAGAAGCUGAAUUAAGACAGCUUUUUUUCAAUGCCCUAAUGGGAAUGUCUGGCUCCGUGAAAAAUCCAUUUUUCUUUACUGUGCCUACUUCAAAUUGUUGACUUUCACACUUCCACGAGUGUCCAUACGGAGCUCGUGCACCUACGUCAUCAAAUCACGUC